rnacentral:snoRNA from 1 species
CCUCCCCCUAGAGGCUUUGUAGGUGUGGCUGCUCUGUCACAUGUGUGUCAGUAGGUGGCAGAGGGGAGAAAAGUUAUGUCUAUGCUCAGUGUUCUGACCUGUAAAUAUCUGAAUGAUUAGUAGCCUAACAAU